rnacentral:tRNA from 1 species
GGCCGAGUGGCGGAAUGGUAUACGCAACGGACUUAAAAUCCGUGGCUCGAAAGGGCGUGAGGGUUCGAGUCCCUCCUUGGCCACCA